AGAGUUUGAUCCUGGCUCAGGAUGAACGCUGGCGGUAUGCUUAACACAUGCAAGUCGAACGCAGUCUUUCGGGACUGAGUGGCGGACGGGUGAGUAACACGUGAGAAUCUGGCUUCAGGCUGGGGACAACAGCGGGAAACUGCUGCUAAUACCCAAUGUGCCGAGAGGUGAAAGAUUAAUCGCCUGAAGAUGGGCUCGCGGCUGAUUAGCUAGUUGGUAUGGUAAAAGCCUACCAAGGCAAUGAUCAGUAGCUUUGGUCUGAGAGGAUUACCAGUCACACUGGGACUGAGACACGGGCCCAGACUCCUACGGGAGGCAGCAGUGGGGAAUUUUCCGCAAUGGGCGAAAGCCUGACGGACCAAUACCGCGUGGAGGAAGAAGGCCCUUAGGUUGUUAACCCCUUUUGUCAAGGAAAGAACACAAUGACGGGUACCUUGCGAAUUAGCCUNGGCUAACUCCGUGCCACCAGGCGCCGGUAAGACGAAGAGGCAAGCGUUAUCCGAAAUCAUUGCGCGUAAAGCGUCCGUAAGGUGACUGAUCAAGUCUGCUGUAAAGCCCAGGGCUCAACCCUGAGAAGCAGUGGAAACUGAUAGGCUAGAGUGCGGUAGGGGUAGAGGAAUUCCCGAUGUAGCGGUGAAAUGCGUAGAGAUCGGGAAGAACACCAGUGGCGAAAGCGACUCUAGUUGGACUGGCAACUGACACUGAGGUGACGACAAGCUAGGUGGAGCGAAUGGGAUUAGAUACCACCAGUAGUCCUAGCCGUAACACGAUGGACACUAGGUGU
rnacentral:rRNA from 1 species